CCUACGGGGGGCAGCAGUGGGGAAUAUUGGGCAAUGGGGGAAACCCUGACCCAGCAACGCCGCGUGAAGGAAGAAGGCCUUCGGGUUGUAAACUUCUUUUACCAGGGACGAAGAACGUGACGGUACCUGGAGAAAAAGCCACGGCUAACUACGUGCCAGCAGCCGCGGUAAUACGUAGGUGGCAAGCGUUGUCCGGAUUUACUGGGUGUAAAGGGCGUGUAGGCGGAGCUGCAAGUCAGAUGUGAAAUCCCGGGGCUCAACCCCGGAACUGCAUUUGAAACUGUAGCCCUUGAGUAUCGGAGAGG
rnacentral:rRNA from 1 species